rnacentral:lncRNA from 1 species
GGUUGAGCAAAUUACAGCUCAGCUAGGAACAACAGCAUCAGCUGAUGGUGUUCCAACAUCUGAUCAAGCCUCAGAGAGGAUCAAAACUGGUUUCCUUCACUUCAAGAAAGAGAAAUAUGAGUUAGUCACUAAACUCAAUUUAAUUACUUAUAUCUUUAAUUUCUUGUAGCUUAAGCUUUCUCAUUCAAUUUUAUUAAUUUUUUCCACAGCACAAAACCAGCUUUGUAUGGUGAACUUGCCAAAGGCCAAGCCCCCCCGGUAUGCAAAUAAUUAGUCGAUGUAGUGAUCGAUAUAUAUAUAUAUAUAUAUAUAUAUAUAUAUAUAUAUAUAUAUAUAUAUAUAUAUAGAGAGAGAGAGAGAGAGAGAGAGAGAGACCGAAUCCUCGAAAUUAUUGACCAAAUAUAAAUUCAUUUCUAAAUCGGAAGCAACGAUAAACUAAAUUUACAUCUCCUUUGUUUACUUGUUUCAGUUUAUGGUGUUUGCAUGCUCAGACUCAAGAGUCUGCCCAUCUCAUGUGCUAGACUUCCAGCCAGGAGAAGCUUUUGUGGUCAGAAAUGUUGCUAACAUGGUUCCACCAUAUGACCAGGUUUGUUUUCAAUUAUACACAAAAAACAAUGCAUCAUUUUGAUAUAGAUGUCUCUAUGGACUCAAACACGGACACGAUACCGAUACAUGUACACCGUGGUAAUACUUUAAGAAAGUAAAAGUGAUCAAAUGUAAAAUGAUUCUAUUUCAUAUUGGUAUCCGACAUAUAUUCAAUCUGAAGUGUCAGUAUUACAUAGAUUUUUUCAAUACAAAUUAUACUCAAAUUAAAAAAGGUAAUUUCUUUGUUUGACUAUAUAUGCUUAAUUUGUAACAGGCAAAAUAUGCUGGAACUGGAUCUGCAAUUGAGUAUGCUGUUCUGCAUCUCAAGGUAUAGUACUACAAGAUAAAUGAACUACACACUUUCAUCUAUAGUAUGAAAAUUGAUAAACUGUAAAAAAAAAAAACAAAAAUUAACUCAACAAUUUUUUAUUUUUCUAUAGGUUUCCAACAUUGUGGUCAUUGGACACAGUGCUUGUGGUGGUAUUAAGGGGCUUUUGUCUUUUCCAUUUGAUGGAGCCUACUCCACGUAAGUCAUUUUUUUACUUUACCUAUUUGAAUAUUUUGGGCAUGUCCCUCUACUUAGUGCAUGAUUGGAUUAACGGUACCUAUGACAAAACUGCGGUUUUGUUGAAUUUUAAAAAGUAGUUUUUGUUAAAGUCGCAAUAAUAGACUGUAAUUCUUCCACAAUCACCAUCAAUCCAAGUAUAAAUAGACAUUGACAAAUUUUUGGACAAAGUUCAACCUAAUUAAUGUCAAGGAAGAGAGAAAAUAAUCACUAGUAAUAAUCUUCCACCCUUUAUUUUGUUGUGUGCAGUGAUUUCAUUGAGGAGUGGGUCAAAAUUGGUUUACCUGCAAAGGCAAAGGUGAAGGCAAAGCAUGGAGAUGCACCUUUUGGAGAGCUAUGCACACACUGUGAGAAGGUAUGAGAGAAGAGUACAAACCAAUUCACAAGCAAUAAACUUAUGUCAACAACACACUCUUUUAUCGGUUGAAAUCCAUAUGAACUUCACAAAAUUUAUGUGGAACUACAUAAUUUAACAUAAUCCAUUUGAAUUUCAACUAUCAGAAGAGUGUGUGUUGGAAAGAUUACGUUGCUAGCACUUCUCGAAUGUUAAAAUCCAGAUUAGUGCGAAUAUCAACAAAUUUUGUACACUCUUUCGAACACUCUUUAUUUUUUAUAAAAGUAAAUGCUCAAAAGCGAUCUCUAACAUUUUCUUUCAAACACUAUAUUAUUAGUCUAAUUUCAUAUAGGACUCAUCAGAUAUGAAUUUCAACAAAUAGUCGAGUGUUAGAGAAUAUGUUGCAGACAGUGAUGAUAUAAAAUGAUCGGCAAGAAACAUUUUUUAGUGAAUCUUACAAGUUAAAAUUUGAAUUAUGUGCAGGAAGCUGUGAAUGUUUCUCUUGGAAACCUUCUAACCUACCCAUUUGUGAGAGAGGGAUUGGUGAACAAAACAUUGGCACUAAAAGGAGGAUACUAUGACUUUGUGAAAGGAUCUUUUGAGCUUUGGGGACUUGAAUUUGGCCUUUCUUCAACUUUCUCCGUAUGAACAUCAACCAUAUAUCAAUGACCACAUCUUGAUUACCUAAGUAUUCUCCUCUCUAAAAUGUACUAUAUGUAAUUACCCUUGUUAAUUAAUUAUAAGCUAAAUUCCAAAAUAAAUAAAUGUAGAUGGAAAUUAUAUAUUCUCCAUCAAUCAUUUUUACAUAGCUCCAAAUUAUAUUAUAAUAAUGUUACUUUUGUUGCAUAUAUAAGUAAAUAAACAAGUUAAGAGCAAAGUGUAAUUUAUGGUGUUUCACUUUCACCACUAAAUUUUUGUUGUUUGUUAGGUAA